CUCCUUUUGUGGCUCAUAAUUUGAUGACUGGGCUUUCACACCAUUGUGUGAGAUGUGCCUCCCUCAAACCUAGUUAUAACAUUGGCACAUUACUCAUCUGUGU
rnacentral:snoRNA from 1 species